rnacentral:tRNA from 1 species
AGUAGAAUGGCUGAGGUAAUAAUAAGGCUGUAGAUUGUAAAUCUAUUUAGGGGAUGGUUUCCCUUCUACUA